rnacentral:rRNA from 1 species
AGAGUUCGAUCCUGGCUCAGGAUGAACGCUGGCGGCGCGCCUAACACAUGCAAGUCGAACGGCACCCACCCUCGGGUGGAAGCGAGUGGCGAACGGCUGAGUAACACGUGGAGAACCCGCCCCCUCCUCCGGGAUAGCCUCGGGAAACCGUGGGUAAUACCGGAUGACCCCGCAGGGCCGCAUGGCCCCGCGGGCAAAGCCCAGACGGGAGGGGAUGGCUCCGCGGCCCAUCAGGUAGACGGCGGGGUGACGGCCCACCGUGCCGACGACGGGUAGCCGGGUUGAGAGACCGACCGGCCAGAUUGGGACUGAGACACGGCCCAGACUCCUACGGGAGGCAGCAGUGGGGAAUCUUGCGCAAUGGGGGGAACCCUGACGCAGCGACGCCGCGUGCGGGACGAAGGCCCUCGGGUCGUAAACCGCUUUCAGCAGGGAUGAGACAAGACGGUACCUGCAGAAGAAGCCCCGGCUAACUACGUGCCAGCAGCCGCGGUAAUACGUAGGGGGCGAGCGUUAUCCGGAUUCAUUGGGCGUAAAGCGCGCGUAGGCGGCCCGGCAGGCAGGGGGUCAAAUGGCGGGGCUCAACCCCGUCCCGCCCCCUGAACCGCCGGGCUCGGGUCCGGUAGGGGAGGGUGGAACACCCGGUGUAGCGGUGGAAUGCGCAGAUAUCGGGUGGAACACCGGUGGCGAAGGCGGCCCUCUGGGCCGAGACCGACGCUGAGGCGCGAAAGCUGGGGGAGCGAACAGGAUUAGAUACCCUGGUAGUCCCAGCCGUAAACGAUGGACGCUAGGUGUGGGGGGACGAUCCCUCCGUGCCGCAGCCAACGCAUUAAGCGUCCCGCCUGGGGAGUACGGCCGCAAGGCUAAAACUCAAAGGAAUUGACGGGGGCC